GGGGAUGUGCUGGAACUGGUAGACAGGCAUGACUUAGGAUCAUGUGCCUUUUGGCGUGAGGGUUCGAGUCCCUCCGUCCCCACCA
rnacentral:tRNA from 2 species